UGAUGGUGGCGAGGACAAUCUCUGAGAAGACCCUUGAACCUCUCCACACUUGAUACAAAUUUUCUCCAUUUUUCUGUCUGAUUGAAAUGAUCUCCCUUCUGAGUCG